rnacentral:rRNA from 1 species
AACGAACGCUGGCGGCGCGUCUUAAGCAUGCAAGUCGAACGGCAAGAUUGGUGCUUGCACCGAUCCUAGAGUGGCGGACUGGAGAGUAACGCGUGGGUGACGUACCCUAAGGAUGGGGAUAGCUGGUAGAAAUAUCAGAUAAUACCGAAUAUCCUUAUGGUUGUUAGAGGACAGUAAGGAAAGGAGCUUUGGCUUCGCCUAAGGAUCGGCCCGCGUACUAUUAGCUAGUUGGUGAGGUAACGGCUCACCAAGGCGACGAUAGUUAUCCGGCCUAAGAGGGUGAACGGACACAUUGGGACUGAGAUACGGCCCAGACUCCUACGGGAGGCAGCAGCUAAGAAUAUUCCGCAAUGGAGGAAACUCUGACGGAGCGACGCCGCGUGGAUGAUGAAGGCCGGAAGGUUGUAAAAUCCUUUUAAGCAAGAAGAAUAAACUUUACAGGGAAUGGUAGAGUGGUGACGGUAUUGCUUGAAUAAGCAACGGCUAAUUACGUGCCAGCCGCCGCUGUAACAC